CAUCUUGACCCAUCACUGCAAGC
rnacentral:miRNA from 1 species